rnacentral:rRNA from 1 species
GAUGAACGCUGGCGGCGUGCCUAAUACAUGCAAGUCGAGCGAACAGAUGAGGAGCUUGCUCCUCUGACGUUAGCGGCGGACGGGUGAGUAACACGUGGAUAACCUACCUAUAAGACUGGGAUAACUUCGGGAAACCGGAGCUAAUACCGGAUAAUAUAUUGAACCGCAUGGUUCAAUAGUGAAAGACGGUUUUGCUGUCACUUAUAGAUGGAUCCGCGCCGCAUUAGCUAGUUGGUAAGGUAACGGCUUACCAAGGCAACGAUGCGUAGCCGACCUGAGAGGGUGAUCGGCCACACUGUAACUGAGACACGGUCCAGACUCCUACGGGAGGCAGCAGUAGGGAAUCUGCCGCAAUGGGCGAAAGCCUGACGGAGCAACGCCGCGUGAGUGAUGAAGGUCUUCGGAUCGUAAAACUCAGUUAUGAGGGAAGAACAAAUGUGUAAGUAACUAUGCACGUCUUGACGGUACCUAAUCAGAAAGCCACGGCUAACUACGUG